rnacentral:lncRNA from 1 species
GCCAUAGUUCUGCAUUACCCCAUGCCCAUGGGCCUCAACCAGGGCCCAAGGUGAACAAGAAUAUGAGCAAGCUGAGGCAGGGCUGCCACCCUGGACACCUUACCAAGCACACAAAGCUUGUGUAAGACAUCAUCUGGGAGGUGUGUGGCUUCCCCCUGAAAGUGGCAUGCCAUGAAGCUGCUCAAAGUCUCCAAGGACAAGCGGGCCCUCAAGUUCAUUAAGAAAAGGAUGAAAACACACAUAUGCACCAACAGGAAGCAAGAGGAGCUGAGGCAAUAUCCUGACUGCCAUGAGGAAAGCAGCUGCCAAG